rnacentral:rRNA from 1 species
CACGUAGGGCGCAAGCGUUGUACGGAAUUAUUGGGCGUAAAGAGCUCGUAGGCGGUCUGUUGCGUCUGCUGUGAAAACCCGGGGCUUAACCCCUGGCUUGCAGUGGAUACGGACAGACUAGAGGUAGGUAGGGGAGAAUGGAAUUCCUGGUGUAGCGGUGAAAUGCGCAGAUAUCAGGAGGAACACCGGUGGCGAAGGCAGGUCUCUGGGCCGAUACUGACGCUGAGGAGCGAAAGCGUGGGGAGCGAACAGG